UACAGAGGUCUCAAGCGUUGUUCGGAUUCAUUGGGCGUAAAGGGUGCGUAGGCGGCGCGGUAAGUCGGGUGUGAAAUUUCGAGGCUUAACUUCGAAACUGCAUUCGAUACUGCCGUGCUAGAGGACUGGAGAGGAGACUGGAAUUUACGGUGUAGCGGUGAAAUGCGUAGAGAUCAUGAGGAAGACCAGUGGCGAAGGCGGGUCUCUGGACAGUUCCUGACACUGAGACACGAAGGCCAGGGGAGCAAACGGG
rnacentral:rRNA from 1 species